rnacentral:misc_RNA from 1 species
GUGGGAGGGGGCUUGCUCCCGAUAGCGGGGUAUCAGCGAACUAUUCAGUGGCUGAUACACCUUAAUCGGGAGCAAGCCCCCUCCCAC